AAUGUGCUGUUAUUCAUACCCCAUUUUAUACUUUUUAAAUAUCGUUUAGGCGCUUGCAAACUAAAAAAAAAUGAAACUUUUUUUUUUGCUUCAAAUGCUUAACACUAUGCAUUGAAAUACAAUUUCAGGUCUGACAAGUCUAUCAGAAUAAUUAUAAAUCCUUAAUAAAUUCCUGUCAAUCGCAAUAACCUUGUUAUAAAUUAGAUAUAUCUUAAAGGUGUUUAAGAUUCUAAAGCAGUAAUAAAAGAGCCGUAUUCUCACAUCUUUACUAAUAUCUUUGGUUCUCAUUUGGUAUAAUAGAGAGCGUGGCAGGUAAGGUACAUGUACCAUUGUAGCAUUAUCAUUCGUUUAUUUUCCUGUUUUCCCAAUUUCAGCAAAGAGCACCCGGCGGGUGUGACUGGUCAGCAGAGGAUGCUUACAUUGUACUCCUUCAUGGCACCUGGUCCUACCUCUUAUUUUUGCAGAGGUCCACGUUUGCCCCGCCCCUAUUUUGUAUUUUUCGUUCGGACUUUUGUUUUAAAACACUCUUUGUUCUCGCCACAUUCCAUUUAUUUAUUUAUGUAUUUAUAAUUACUAUAGUAAAACCCUGAUAUAUGGGAAAGCAUGCUACCGAUAUUUCCUAUUUGAAAAGUUUUAAAACAUUUUCCAGUACUCUGAUUUUGAUGGCAAAUGAUACAUCAUACGACAUAUAUUUUUUGAUGGAGGUUUGUUUUCAUUUCUAAAAUGUUUUAUAUUACAGAAAAUAAUGGUUUCCCUGAAAACAGACAAUCCGGUCUUCGCCUCGGUCCAAAUAAAGAUAGCGGAAGAGACCGUCCUAGAGACGGUAGCAGUGGUUCUGGGUGAUUUGCAAACAACGUAUUUUGACUGAAAGAAAUUCAUUUGGACAUUUAUUCUUGAAACUAUUGUUUCCUUUCAAUGUUACUGUUGUGUGAAAUUUUGAAUUAAUUCUUGAUUUGGUUUUACACAUAUAACUCCUUUUUCUCAUAAAUUAAUAAAGACAUUACUCAGCUUUCAU
rnacentral:misc_RNA from 1 species